ACCAGACUCCUACGGGAGGCAGCAGUGAGGAAUAUUGGUCAAUGGGCGGGAGCCUGAACCAGCCAAGCCGCGUGAGGGAAGAAGGUACAGCGUAUCGUAAACCUCUUUUGUCAGGGAACAAAGGCGGGGACUAGUCCCCGGAUGAGGGUACCUGAAGAAAAAGCAUCGGCUAACUCCGUGCCAGCAGCCGCGGUAAUACGGAGGAUGCGAGCGUUAUCCGGAUUUAUUGGGUUUAAAGGGGGCGUAGGCGGGACGGUAGGUCGGGGGUAAAAAGGGGGAGCUCACCCCCGUCGAGCCGUUGAAACUGCCGUUCUUGAGUGAGCGAGAAGUAUGCGGAAUGCGUGGUGUAGCGGUGAAAUGCAUAGAUAUCACGCAGAACUCCGAUUGCGAAGGCAGCAUACCGGCGCUCAACUGACGCUGAAGCACGAAGGCGUGGGUAUCGAACAGGAUUAGAUACCCGUGUA
rnacentral:rRNA from 1 species